rnacentral:Y_RNA from 1 species
GGCUGGUUCGAAGGUAGUGAGUUAUCUCACUUAAUUCUUCAGUCAGUUAUAGAUUGAAUUCCUUAUUCUACUACUUUUCUCCCUUCUCACUACCACACUUGAUUAGUCUUAA